GACUAAGCGUACACGGUGGAUGCCCUGGCAGUCAGAGGCGAUGAAGGACGUGCUAAUCUGCGAUAAGCGUCGGUAAGGUGAUAUGAACCGUUAUAACCGGCGAUUUCCGAAUGGGGAAACCCAGUGUGUUUCGACACACUAUCAUUAACUGAAUCCAUAGGUUAAUGAGGCGAACCGGGGGAACUGAAACAUCUAAGUACCCCGAGGAAAAGAAAUCAACCGAGAUUCCCCCAGUAGCGGCGAGCGAACGGGGAGCAGCCCAGAGCCUGAAUCAGUGUGUGUGUUAGUGGAAGCGUCUGGAAAGGCGCGCGAUACAGGGUGACAGCCCCGUACACAAAAAUGCACAUGCUGUGAGCUCGAUGAGUAGGGCGGGACACGUGGUAUCCUGUCUGAAUAUGGGGGGACCAUCCUCCAAGGCUAAAUACUCCUGACUGACCGAUAGUGAACCAGUACCGUGAGGGAAAGGCGAAAAGAACCCCGGCGAGGGGAGUGAAAAAGAACCUGAAACCGUGUACGUACAAGCAGUGGGAGCACGCUUAGGCGUGUGACUGCGUACCUUUUGUAUAAUGGGUCAGCGACUUAUAUUCUGUAGCAAGGUUAACCGAAUAGGGGAGCCGAAGGGAAACCGAGUCUUAACUGGGCGUUAAGUUGCAGGGUAUAGACCCGAAACCCGGUGAUCUAGCCAUGGGCAGGUUGAAGGUUGGGUAACACUAACUGGAGGACCGAACCGACUAAUGUUGAAAAAUUAGCGGAUGACUUGUGGCUGGGGGUGAAAGGCCAAUCAAACCGGGAGAUAGCUGGUUCUCCCCGAAAGCUAUUUAGGUAGCGCCUCGUGAAUUCAUCUCCGGGGGUAGAGCACUGUUUCGGCAAGGGGGUCAUCCCGACUUACCAACCCGAUGCAAACUGCGAAUACCGGAGAAUGUUAUCACGGGAGACACACGGCGGGUGCUAACGUCCGUCGUGAAGAGGGAAACAACCCAGACCGCCAGCUAAGGUCCCAAAGUCAUGGUUAAGUGGGAAACGAUGUGGGAAGGCCCAGACAGCCAGGAUGUUGGCUUAGAAGCAGCCAUCAUUUAAAGAAAGCGUAAUAGCUCACUGGUCGAGUCGGCCUGCGCGGAAGAUGUAACGGGGCUAAACCAUGCACCGAAGCUGCGGCAGCGACGCUGAUGCGUUGUUGGGUAGGGGAGCGUUCUGUAAGCCUGUGAAGGUGUACUGUGAGGUAUGCUGGAGGUAUCAGAAGUGCGAAUGCUGACAUAAGUAACGAUAAAGCGGGUGAAAAGCCCGCUCGCCGGAAGACCAAGGGUUCCUGUCCAACGUUAAUCGGGGCAGGGUGAGUCGACCCCUAAGGCGAGGCCGAAAGGCGUAGUCGAUGGGAAACAGGUUAAUAUUCCUGUACUUGGUGUUACUGCGAAGGGGGGACGGAGAAGGCUAUGUUGGCCGGGCGACGGUUGUCCCGGUUUAAGCGUGUAGGCUGGUUUUCCAGGCAAAUCCGGAAAAUCAAGGCUGAGGCGUGAUGACGAGGCACUACGGUGCUGAAGCAACAAAUGCCCUGCUUCCAGGAAAAGCCUCUAAGCAUCAGGUAACAUCAAAUCGUACCCCAAACCGACACAGGUGGUCAGGUAGAGAAUACCAAGGCGCUUGAGAGAACUCGGGUGAAGGAACUAGGCAAAAUGGUGCCGUAACUUCGGGAGAAGGCACGCUGAUAUGUAGGUGAAGCGACUUGCUCGUGGAGCUGAAAUCAGUCGAAGAUACCAGCUGGCUGCAACUGUUUAUUAAAAACACAGCACUGUGCAAACACGAAAGUGGACGUAUACGGUGUGACGCCUGCCCGGUGCCGGAAGGUUAAUUGAUGGGGUUAGCGCAAGCGAAGCUCUUGAUCGAAGCCCCGGUAAACGGCGGCCGUAACUAUAACGGUCCUAAGGUAGCGAAAUUCCUUGUCGGGUAAGUUCCGACCUGCACGAAUGGCGUAAUGAUGGCCAGGCUGUCUCCACCCGAGACUCAGUGAAAUUGAACUCGCUGUGAAGAUGCAGUGUACCCGCGGCAAGACGGAAAGACCCCGUGAACCUUUACUAUAGCUUGACACUGAACAUUGAGCCUUGAUGUGUAGGAUAGGUGGGAGGCUUUGAAGUGUGGACGCCAGUCUGCAUGGAGCCGACCUUGAAAUACCACCCUUUAAUGUUUGAUGUUCUAACGU
rnacentral:rRNA from 1 species